CCUACGGGGGGCAGCAGUGAGGAAUAUUGGUCAAUGGACGAGAGCCUGAACCAGCCAAGUAGCGUGAAGGAUGACUGUCCUAUGGGUUGUAAACUUCUUUUAUAUGGGAAUAAAAUGUUCCUCGUGAUGGCUUUUGUAUUUACCAUAUGAAUAAGGAUCGGCUAACUCCGUGCCAGCAGCCGCGGUAAUACGGAGGAUCCGAGCGUUAUCCGGAUUUAUUGGGUUUAAAGGGAGCGUAGGUGGAUUGUUAAGUCAAUGGUGAAAGUUUGCGGCUCAACCGGAAAAUUGCAGUUGAAACUGGCAGUCCUGAGUACAGUAGAGGAGUGCGGAAU
rnacentral:rRNA from 1 species